rnacentral:rRNA from 1 species
AUGAGAGAAGAACACAACAAGGAGCUACUUAUAGGCAAGCAAAGAAGGACCCAGAACACAAACGUGUGCAAACCUGGAACGACAAACAUGCAUGCAUCAGCCAUGCAGCAGCACACGUGUACCAGCCCAUACAACAUGCCAUGCAAGCAAAGAAGAACCCAGAACACAAACGUGUGCAAACCUGAAACUACAAACAUACAAAGGUGGACACAUGCAUGCAUGCAUCAGCCAUGCAACAGCACACGUAUACCAGCCCAUACAACAGGCCAUGCAACUAAUAUUUUCUUUUCACAUGAGACAAAAUCAGCCCAUGCAGUCAAACCAUCUUUUCACAUGAGACAAGAUAAGCCCAUGCACCUCUAA